UAAAAAGCGAUGACGGAGAAAAGUAGCACGGGUCAUACCUCCCAGGGAGGCGGGGUCGGCGACUGGAAGCCCUGCCAGGUUAGCCGUAGCGAAGUUCCCUCCUGAGCAGCCAGCUGAACGCCAUUUCGGCCAGUAGGUGCGGCCGGUCACCCUGACCGUUAUCCCGGGGGGCAUAUCGGACUUACGGUCCCGUAUGCUUAAUGAGUGCCGGCUAUCAGCCGGAAACUGGGUGGUACCGCGGAGCACAGGCUUCGUCCCAUUA
rnacentral:ncRNA from 1 species